GAUGAAGAACGUAGCGAAAUGCGAUACGUAGUGUGAAUUGCAGAGUUCCGUGAACCAUCAAAUCUUUGAACGCAUAUUGCGCUCGAGGCUUCGGCCGAGAGCAUGUCUGCCUCAGCGUCGGUAUUACCCCUCGCUUCUCAACCCCUGGUUGAUGCCUGCCUGCCUUUGCAGUUGGCUAGAAGCGGAUCUGGCUUUCCCAAUUGCCUUUGGUAGUUGGGUCAGCUGAAGCACAGAGGCUUGAGCAAGGACCCUUAUUGGGCUUCAACUGGAUAGGUAGAACUGGUCUUAGGACCAACUACACGAAGUUGUUGCUUGUGGUCUUUGUCUGGAGGCCAGCAGGAAACCUUUAUACCUUCGACCUGAGCUCAGGCAAGAUUACCCGCUGAACUUAAGCAUAUCAAUAAGCGGAGGA
rnacentral:misc_RNA from 1 species